CCUACGGGAGGCAGCAGUGAGGAAUAUUGGUCAAUGGCCGUAAGGCUGAACCAGCCAAGUCGCGUGAAGGAAGAAGGAUCUAUGGUUUGUAAACUUCUUUUAUAGGGGAAUAAAGGUAUCCACGUGUGGAUAUUUGCAUGUACCCUAUGAAUAAGCAUCGGCUAACUCCGUGCCAGCAGCCGCGGUAAUACGGAGGAUGCGAGCGUUAUCCGGAUUUAUUGGGUUUAAAGGGUGCGUAGGUUGUUUUUUAAGUCAGCGGUGAAAGUUUGUGGCUCAACCAUAAAAUUGCCGUUGAAACUGGAAGACGUGAGUGUGUUUGAGGUAGGCGGAAUGCGUGGUGUAGCGGUGAAAUGCAUAGAUAUCACGAAGAACUCCGAUUGCGAAGGCAGCUUACUAAGCCAUAACUGACACUGAAGCACGAAAGCGUGGGGAUCAAACAGGAUUAGAUACCCGUGUAGUC
rnacentral:rRNA from 1 species